rnacentral:tRNA from 1 species
GCCGCCUUGGCUCAGGGGUAGAGCGCUUCCUUGGUAAGGAAGAGGUCCCGGGUUCGAGCCCCGGAGGCGGCU